AAGCUCCGCCUAUUUUUAACCUUCCUGAGCUCCUGUCCCCGCACUCCUCCCCUUCCUCCAUCCCUCCUCCUAAUCCCUUUCUGCUCCUGUCCCUACCUGCCUCCCCUUGGCCUUCUCUGGUACCCUCUACUCAGAGAUGAAGCUGCUGGGAACAUUUCUGUACAAACCUUUGUGUUACCGACCACAGUUCUUGCACUAGAAAUUGAUAAAGAGGCCAGAUAAGAAAUUCAGACAAGGCUUAACUGGGACUUGUGCUGCAACAGGAGAGAGUGAAAACAAGUAACAGGGAGGCCCACCAGUCUUACAGACUCCACCAAGGCUCCUGUCUUCCAGAAACACCCUCACAGAUACACCCAAAUUAUAUUUAACCCGUUGCCUGAAAAUCUGCUGGU